rnacentral:tRNA from 1 species
ACCUGGGUGGCUCAGUCGGUUGGGCGUCUGACUUCCGCUCAGGUCAUGAUAUCACGAUUCGUGGGUUCAAGCCCCGCAUCGGGCU